GUAAGUCUAGCAGAAGCAGAGCCCGGGGUGAGAAAGAUAGAAGGUAGGGAUGUACGGUGAGAGUAAUCUUCUAUUAAUUUUGGGUGUCUGCAUUUGCAGUAAUAGAAUUUGUUAUUCAGAAGCCUAAUAUUGCAAUUCUUUGAUCAGCUCCAUGGAAGAUGGUGAUCAAUGGAUCUAUCCUUAGGCAACAGUGACAGGUAUUCUCUGUAUACAUAAAAUUUUGUUUUUGUGUAUACUCUGCCUUUAGCUCCGAUUUUCCUCUUCUUUUUCUGGGAAUUUUCGGUGACAAGGUAGAUACAUUCUUUAAUUAGUUUUUUAAAAAAAUUAUUUUAUAUACAAUGAAAUCCAUGAGGAUGAUGAUGAUUAUGGAUGAUGCAAAAAAUCAGACGGAUUCCCACUGAUUUAUCUAAAUAUGAUUUUACUUAACAGUUAUUUCUGACUCUUCAUCAUCAUCCUCUUCAUUUAUGUAGUUAUUUAUUAUUUAUUUUGAUCUAAUUUGAUUUGUUUGGGCCGGUGAUGUGAGAAAAUAUUUGCUACUCUUGAUGGGAUUCAAAUCGAAUCCGCAGCUGAUGAUUCCUUUCCACCAAGAUCUCUGAGGCCUUUGUUUUUUUUAAUUUCUGAUUUUUGGGGAUUAAUCAGUAAAUUUGUCUGAUUUAAACUCAUUAUUAAUUUCUAGUUUUUAAAUUUCUUUGUCGAAAUUUCUGCUAUUGUAGCAGAAGGAUUCUGGAGGAUCAGAUUUCUUCUUGGUUUCAUUCUCAAUGGAUUCAACCAUCUUCUAUUAUCUAUGGUUGUUGCUGCUAUAAUCUUUGGGUUCAUCCAUGACUUGAAAAUUAAUAGAGAGAAAACAAACGAUUUUAUUUUUGCCAAAGAUCUGAGAUUUAUUAAGGAGGCUUAAUCAAAGCCCAGAGAUUACAACUCUAUUGAAACUAACCAUGACAAUUUCUAAUACACAGAAAUAGACAGUGUUUAAAUCAUAUUUAAGUGAAAGAUAAUUGAUAUUAAAAAAUUAAAUAUUUUAUGCAUUUUAGUGAUUUUAUUUAAAUUUUUAAUUUUGACAAUUUAAUUUAAAAUUAAAAUAUUCGUAUAAAUUUUAUUCAAAUUUAAAAUUAUAUUAAGGUAGGAUAUGAUUUUACAUAUACAGCAUAACACAUUAUCUUUUUAUUAUUAAAUGAGAGAUAAAUUUUAUCAACACAUAAAUAUUAAUUAAAAUUAUUUUAAUUAAUUAAAUUAAUUUGUUUUUCUAAUUCUUCACCCUCUUUGUUAAACUCUUGGUUUCCUUGUGUUAUAAGGGACGACGAAUUUUGAGAGAAAAUGAAUUAAAUUUUUUCUUAAUUUUUGUGUUCGGUAAAAUUAAAAAUGUAAGAGUUAACUUUUUUUAAUUUUUGUGGAAAUUCAUUUUAAAUUAAAAGUAAAUAUAAUCAAAAUUAUUAAAAUUUUAUAAAACAUAAUUUCACUUAAAAUUAUUUAUAUCAAAAUUACUUAGCUUUUGAGAAUUUCAAUUUUUUUAAUCCUUAUUUUAUUUAUUUAUUUUAACUUUGAAUUUGUUUAUUUUUUUCUUAAUUAAUAACUCAUUCUUUUGAAAUUUAAUUUGUUUAAGUAUUAAUAUUUGAUGUAUUUAUAAUUGAUAUUAAGAAAUUUAUUAUAUUAUUUUGUUAAUUUUUCUAAAAAUAGUCUCCAUCUUAAUUUAUAUUUUUAAUGGUAUUUUUUUAUAAAUAUUAUGCAAAUAUUAAUAAUGGAGUUCAAAAAGUAUUUUUAAUGUGAUAAAAAUUAUUUUUAUUUAUAAAAUAAAUAUUUAUACUUAAGUUUAGAAAUAAUAAGGAUAAUAAAUAAAAUAAAUCAAUUUUGAAUUUAUUACUAGUUUAUUUAUAAAUAAAUAAAUUUAAUUAAAUAAUAUUAUUUUAAGAUUUAUUCUAAAUAAAAGAAUUUAUUUAUGAAUUAAAAUAAAUUUAAUUAAAUUCUUUUAUUGUAAGAAAAGCAUUCCAAACGAGAAAUACAUUUUUAUAAAUUGUAAUUUCUCAAAUAUAAAGAUCAUUAUUUAAAUGAACUGAAUUAAAAAUAGAAAUGAUUCAGUUUCGCUUAUUUUUUAUCAAUUAAUCAUCGGUGAUAAUAUUAAGAAGGAAAGAAAUGAAAAAUUAUGCUGUAAAUGGAAAAAAAUCAAACGAGAGAAAGUGAGGAAUGAGAGAUUAAAAAUAUUUUUUAUUAAUUAAAAUAAUUUUAAUUUAUUAGAAUUGCUAUGCAUUUGGAUCUGCUAGUGCAUAAACUCUUUUCAAGAAAUUGUCUUUAUACCAUCUAAAAUUUUCUAGUUUUCUACAUUUAAGAUUUUGUAAUAUUUCGCUAUUUUUUCUGUGUAUAAAUCUAAGUCUCCUAUAAAAUGUGAUAUAAUAUUGUAAACUAGGUAUGUUAAGGUAAAAGAUUGUGGUUGUCCUGUUGUGGGGUCAAUAACGGGUUCUCCUGUAAUACUAUCAAUUCUUCUUGCUGUUAGUAUAUUGGUUUUUAUUUCAUUACUUAGUAAUUUGUCCCACCAAGUUCUUAGUUCUCCGGUGAACCCUAAUAUUAUAUUUUCAGCUGCAUUUUUUUCCAGUAAUACCAACCCUUUGUUUAUAAAUAUUUCCUAUGACCAUUUCUUUGGUUAUUUGUAUUAUUUCUAUUUCUGCUAAAUCAUCUAUAUUCCAUUCAUAAAUAUUUUUUGCAUUAUAUUGUUUUUGUUUUCAAUCUAAGAUUUUUAAAUCAUCUGGUCUAUUAUUUUGCCUUUCUAUAGUAUUUAUGGGAACAUUAAUUUCUUGGUCAAAGUCUGAUAUGUCUAAGGGAUUGUAUAUGGUUUUAUCAUCUGAAGAAGAAAUUUCAUUAUAUUCAGUCAGAAUGGUUAUUUUUCCCUUAUCUUUAUUAGUUCUUGGUUCUUCUAUCUUUAUUCCUCCUGAAGUGCUAGUUUUUGGAGACUUACUCUGUUCAUUUAUUAUUUGUUGUAAUAAUUUUGACAUAUCAUUUAAUUCUGUCUUCGGAUUUAUUGUUACUGUAUCAAUUGGAUUUUGUGAGGGUGGUAUCAUUUUUGUGAAAAGUUUGUUACUUUGUUUUUUAGCUGGAUCUAUGUCAUAUGGUUUUGGAUUACUAUAGCGUUGGGAUAAAUAUGUUGUAUUUGGUUUAAUAUUAAUGGGUGAUGGUGUUGUAGGUGUUUCUAUAUGUUCUAUAUCUGUUAUGACAUUAUGGUUUCUAUCUAUUUUUUCUUCCAUUCUAUCUAAUUGAGUUCCUAUGAUAUGUAAUGCUACAUUUGUCCAAUUAUUUUGUAAAUUAACGUCUCUUAUGUUAUUACUCUGUAUAUUUUUAGUAUUUACAAUUGGUUGCAUUCCAUAAGCAAUUUGGUUCUUUUUGAAGAAUACCCUAUCUAUGGGUGGUUUUUCACAUUCAUGACAUAUCUCACUUGGUUCACCAUUAUCAUUAAUUUUGUGCCAUUUAUGUAUUUUCUUUUCUAAUAUAUUUAAUUUAUUUUCAUGAAAAUAUUUUAAGUAUGUAAAAAAUGGAAUAGUUUUCUCUACUUGUUCACAAAAUGUAAAAAAAUGUUUUUUUAUUAAACUUUGUUCUUUUCUGGAAUAGGUUUGUAAAAAUAUGUCUCGUUUCCCCCGGUUUUUAUCUGACAUAUAGUCAGCUUGAAUUUGGUCUCUGUCGAGUAUGAAAGUCUGGGUUAAGGUAUUAAUAGAACAAUCACUAUCUUCAUAUGGUUGACUAAAUUGACCUUAUCUAAAGACGCCUUCUUGUAUUUUGAUACCUUUGGUAGGUUGUGGAAUGGUUUGAUGAUUAAAUGUUUCUUCUACAGGUUUAGUUCCAGAGGUUUCUCCAACAAAAGGUCUGGUAUAUGGUGGGAUAGUAGUUUCUUCAGAAAUACUAGUAUCUGUAUUGAUCUCAACAUUGGGUCUUCUUUGGGAAGAUCCUAAUGAAUGUCUAUAUGGUUGAUAAAUGGUUGAACUGGUUUGUCUAAAAGAGUUUGAUCUUUUAUGUUUCAAUUCUAUUGAACCAUCAUCAUUUUGUAUAAUAUAAUCUAUUUCCUUGUUUUCUUUUGCAGGUAAUGUUGGUAUUGUUUUAACUGGGUAUUUCCAGCUGUCUGGUAAACUAAUAUCUUUCCAUUGUAUAGUUUUUGAUAUAUUUAUGUUUGCUUUAGUUUGGUCAAUUUCUCAAAAAAUUGUUUCUCCUGUUUGUCUAUUAUGGUCAAUAGCAUUUGGACAUAAUCCUGUGUUCAUUAUUUUAUAAUUCAGUAUAUAAAAUACUUCAUAAAUAUAUGAUUCUUUAAGCAUA
rnacentral:lncRNA from 1 species